AUUGAACGCUGGCGGCAGGCCUAACACAUGCAAGUCGAGCGAGCGGCGGACGGGUGAGUAAUGUAUGGGGACUGCCCGAUAGAGGGGGAUAACUACUGGAAACGGUAGCUAAUACCGCAUACUAUCGGAUAACCCAUAUGGGAUUGGCUAGUAGGUGAGGUAAUGGCUCACCUAGGCGACGAUCCCUAGCUGGUCUGAGAGGAUGAUCAGCCCCACGGGGGCGUGGACACGGCCAAGGCUCCUACGGAGGCAGCAGUGGGGAAUAGUGCGCAAUGGGGGAGAGCCUGGUGCAGCCAUGCCGCGUGUAUGAAGAAGGCCCUAGGGUUGUAAAGUACGUUCAGUCGGGAGGCGUUACCGACAGAAGAAGCACCGGCUAACUCCGUGCCAGCAGCCGCGGUAAUUC
rnacentral:rRNA from 1 species